rnacentral:rRNA from 1 species
GAUGAACGCUGGCGGCGUGCCUAAUACAUGCAAGUCGAGCGAACAGACGAGGAGCUUGCUCCUCUGACGUUAGCGGCGGACGGGUGAGUAACACGUGGAUAACCUACCUAUAAGACUGGGAUAACUUCGGGAGACCGGAGCUAAUACCGGAUAAUAUAUUGAACCGCAUGGUUCAAUAGUGAAAGACGGUUUUGCUGUCACUUAUAGAUGGAUCCGCGCCGCAUUAGCUAGUUGGUAAGGUAACGGCUUACCAAGGCAACGAUGCGUAGCCGACCUGAGGGGGUGAUCGGCCACACUGGAACUGAGACACGGUCCAGACUCCUACGGGAGGCAGCAGUAGGGAAUCUUCCGCAAUGGGCGAAAGCUUGACGGAGCAACGCCGCGUGAGUGAUGAAGGUCUUCGGAUCGUAAAACUCUGUUAUUAGGGAAGAACAAAUGUGUAAGUAACUAUGCACGUCUUGACGGUACCUAAUCAGAAAGCCACGGCUAACUACGUG